GGGAUCGUGGUCUAGCUUGGUAUGAUUCGUGCUUGGGGUGUACGAGACCGAGAGUUCAAAUCUCUCCGAUCCCACCA
rnacentral:tRNA from 1 species